rnacentral:rRNA from 1 species
AUUGAACGCUGGCGGCAUGCCUUACACAUGCAAGUCGAACGGCAGCGCGGGAGCAAUCCUGGCGGCGAGUGGCGAACGGGUGAGUAAUAUAUCGGAACGUGCCCAGUAGUGGGGGAUAGCCCGGCGAAAGCCGGAUUAAUACCGCAUGAGACCUGAGGGUGAAAGCGGGGGAGUCGCAAGACCUCGCGCUAUUGGAGCGGCCGAUAUCAGAUUAGCUAGUUGGUGAGGUAAAGGCCUACCAAGGCAACGAUCUGUAGUUGGUCUGAGAGGACGACCAGCCACACUGGGACUGAGACACGGCCCAGACUCCUACGGGAGGCAGCAGUGGGGAAUUUUGGACAAUGGGCGCAAGCCUGAUCCAGCAAUGCCGCGUGCAGGAAGAAGGCCUC